rnacentral:rRNA from 1 species
GGGCGCGAUCAUACCAGCACUAAUGCAUCAGAUCCCAUCAAAACUUCAUAGUUAAGCGUGCUUGAGUGAGAGUAGUACUAGGAUGGGUGACCUCCUGGGAAGUCCUUGUGUUGCACCCC